rnacentral:lncRNA from 10 species
UCGAUCUCCUGACCUCGUGAUCCACCCGCCUCGGCCUCCCAAAGUGCUGGGAUUACAGGCAUGAGCCACCGCGCCCGGCCAUAGAUUAGUGAAUUUAAAGACACAGCAAUAGAAACUAUCAGAAAUGAAUCAUAGAGACUAAAACAAAUUUUAAAAAUCUUAACAGAGCAUCUGAGAGCUGUGAAAGAACUUCAAGUGGCCCAGUAUAGAUGUAGUUGGAGUCCCUGAGUGCCAAGUGAUAGGGGGAAUGGAUAGAAAAAUAAUGGCCAAAAUAUUUCCAAAUUUGAGACAACUAAAAUCUAUGAAUACAAAAAAAAUGAAGAAACAACACCAAGACACAAUAAACAAAUUGUUCAAGACCAGUGAUAAAGAGAAAAUCUUAAGAGCAGCUCAAGGAAAAAGAAACACUAUCCAUACAGGAAUAAAGAUAUGUAUAACAGAUUUCUCAAUAGGAAUAAUGUAAGUGAGCAGACAAGAGAGAAACAUCCUUAAAGUUUGUAUGUAUUUUGCUAGAUU